AUCCCCGCCCAAAUUGAGGGACCCAGGUAUUCCCCUCCCCCCAAAUCAGAACUUCUUCCUCACAUUCUUUUUCUCUCCACAGCGUCUUCUUGAGCUUCUUCCUCUCCCAAUCCCCCCCCUUCUCUAUCUCUCUCUCCAAAAAUUUGAGCUUCUUCCUUCACCUCACCCGCCACCACUGCAGCAAGAACCCACCCACCUGCCCGGAAAUCCGAUGCCUCCUCGAUUUCUAAGAUUUUCGGCGUCCCCUCCUGCAGCAGCGGCGGUCCUCCGACGUCCCCUCCAGCACUCUGGCAACGUCCCCUCCACCUCCCGGCCUCGGUCUCUCAUUCUCUCUCUCGAGGCUGAGGCGAUCCAAUCCUCCUCUUACUGGAACACAUUGCUGAUUGAUCUGCUUUGUGAAGACGACGGUCUUAUGAUUGAGUUUGGCAAUGGUCAAGCAUGAAAGCAGUUGCCCUUCUGUGUUCGUAGGAGCUUUUUUGGCCCAAAAUGUCCAACACUUGACCUCUCUUCUUCUCCCAACCCAAUUCAUUUGCGUUUAUCCUCCUCCUAUAACCCGAUGCCUUAUCAGUCGUUUGAGAACGGGCGUCCAGUCACGAGAGAGAAGAAGAGACCAAAAGCUUGUGUUGGAGGAUACAGAGGCUCCCGAAGGGAGAGCCUGUUGGGGCGGCAUUCCAAAGCUGGAUGGGCGACGGCUUUCCCGUCCACACAGGCAAUAUCUUUCACGCCAUCAACCGUUUACGCAAGCUUCGACUGAACAAAUGCGCACUCGAGGUGAAAGGAUUUUCUCUUCCCUUCCAUAGCUACACAAAGUUCACCACCUGUUUGUAAAUGUGCCGAAAAGAAUUAUGCCAAUUGCACAAUUAGGUGAUGGAAUGGGUGAUCAGGGAGAGCCAUUUGGCAGGAUUGGGGUUCUAAGUCGUGCUGAACAGCUUUGGUUAGUGAUGAAGUUAGAGCAAGGGUUGAAACUAAAGCAACUAAGCUGUAUAAAGAAAUGGCAGAAAAUGCUGUGAUUGUAUUAUGUUUAAGAAAUUUCUGGGUUUCAAUUGUUCUCUUGACAAUGCUUCUAUUUUAUGUUUAAAUUCGAAGACAAUGAACAUGGGAGGAUAUCAUAGUUACUGCUAUCAGUUUUGUGUUCUGCAAAAAUCAUAGCUGCAAACUGUUGCUGUAACCGACGCCAAUUUGAUCCUGCUUUUACUCAUUAGCAGGGCUUUCCGAGAUGUUGAAUUUAAGGUCACUACUCUA